rnacentral:rRNA from 1 species
GACGAACGCUGGCGGCGUGCUUAACACAUGCAAGUCGAACGGAAAGGCCCUGCUUUUGUGGGGUGCUCGAGUGGCGAACGGGUGAGUAACACGUGAGUAACCUGCCCUUGACUUUGGGAUAACUUCAGGAAACUGGGCUAAUACCGGAUAGGAGCUCCUGCUGCAUGGUGGGGGUUGGAAAGUUUCGGCGGUUGGGGAUGGACUCGCGGCCUAUCAGCUUGUUGGUGGGGUAGUGGCUUACCAAGGCUUUGACGGGUAGCCGGCCUGGGAGGGUGACCGGCCACAUUGGGACUGAGAUACGGCCCAGACUCCUACGAGAGGCAGCAGUGGGGAAUAUUGCACAAUGGGCGGAAGCCUGAUGCAGCAACGCCGCGUGCGGGAUGACGGCCUUCGGGUUGUAAACCGCUUUCGCCUGUGACGAAGCGUGAGUGACGGUAAUGGGUAAAGAAGCACCGGCUAACUACGUG